rnacentral:rRNA from 1 species
GACGAACGCUGGCGGCGUGCUUAACACAUGCAAGUCGAACGGAAAGGCCCUGCUUUUGUGGGGUGCUCGAGUGGCGAACGGUGAGUAACACGUGAGUAACCUGCCCUUGACUUUGGGAUAACUUCAGGAAACUGGGGCUAAUACCGGAUAGGAGCUCCUGCUGCAUGGUGGGGGUUGGAAAGUUUCGGCGGUUGGGGAUGGACUCGCGGCUUAUCAGCUUGUUGGUGGGGUAGUGGCUUACCAAGGCUUUGACGGGUAGCCGGCCUGAGAGGGUGACCGGCCACAUUGGGACUGAGAUACGGCCCAGACUGCUACGGGAGGCAGCAGUGGGGAAUAUUGCACAGUGGGCGGAAGCCUGAUGCAGCAACGCCGCGUGCGGGAUGACGGCCUUCGGGUUGUAAACCGCUUUCGCCUGUGACGAAGCGUGAGUGACGGUAAUGGGUAAAGAAGCACCGGCUAACUACGUG